rnacentral:tRNA from 1 species
GGGGCUGUAAUCUAGCCAGGUAUGAUGCUGGGCUCCAGACCCAGGGAAAUGUAACAUAAAUGUUCAUUUCUGGUAGUAUUCAGGGGUUCAAGUCCCCUCAGCCCCA